rnacentral:ribozyme from 1 species
AAUCGUUAGGGCGAUUUAAAAGAGAGUAUUAAGCCCUAAGCGUCCCGACUUUGUCGGGGGUUACA